rnacentral:rRNA from 1 species
UCCUACGGGAGGCAGCAGUGGGGAAUAUUGCACAAUGGGCGCAAGCCUGAUGCAGCAACGCCGCUGAGGGACGAAGGCCUUCGGGUUGUAAACCUCUUUUAGUAGGGAAGAAGCGACUGGGUUUUCCUGGGAGUGACGGUACCUGCAGAAAAAGCACCGGCUAACUACGUGCCAGCAGCCGCGGUAAUACGUAGGGUGCAGCGUUGUCCGGAAUUAUUGGGCGUAAAGAGCUCGUAGGCGGUUUGUCGCGUCUGCUGUGAAAACCCGAGGCUCAACCUCGGGCCUGCAGUGGGUACGGGCAGACUAGAGUGCGGUAGGGGAGAUUGGAAUUCCUGGUGUAGCGGUGGAAUGCGCAGAUAUCAGGAGGAACACCAAUGGCGAAGGCAGAUCUCUGGGCCGUAACUGACGCUGAGGAGCGAAAGCAUGGGGAGCGAACAGGAUUAGAUACCCUGGUAGUCCAUGCCGUAAACGUUGGGAACUAGAUGUGGGGACCAUUCCACGGUCUCCGUGUCGCAGCUAACGCAUUAAGUUCCCCGCCUGGGGAGUACGGCCGCAAGGCUAAAACUCAAAGGAAUUGACGGGGGCCCGCACAAGCGGCGGAGCAUGCGGAUUAAUUCGAUGCAACGCGAAGAACCUUACCAAGGCUUGACAUAUACCGGAAACGGCUGGAAACAGUCGCCCCGCAAGGUCGGUAUACAGGUGGUGCAUGGUUGUCGUCAGCUCGUGUCGUGAGAUGUUGGGUUAAGUCCCGCAACGAGCGCAACCCUCGUCCUAUGUUGCCAGCACGUAAUGGUGGGAACUCAUGGGAUACUGCCGGGGUCAACUCGGAGGAAGGUGGGGAUGACGUCAAAUCAUCAUGCCCCUUAUGUCUUGGGCUUCACGCAUGCUACAAUGGCCGGUACAAAGGGCUGCGAUACCGCAAGGUGGAGCGAAUCCCAAAAAGCCGGUCUCAGUUCGGAUUGAGGUCUGCAACUCGACCUCAUGAAGUCGGAGUCGCUAGUAAUCGCAGAUCAGCAACGCUGCGGUGAAUACGUUCCCGGGCCUUGUACACACCGC